UCGGGAGAGCUCAGCUGGUAGAGCAGAGGACUGAA
rnacentral:tRNA from 1 species